rnacentral:rRNA from 1 species
UAGCUAGUUGGUGAGGUAACGGCCCACCAAGGCGACGAUCGGUAGCCGGACUGAGAGGUUGAACGGCCACAUUGGGACUGAGACACGGCCCAGACUCCUACGGGAGGCAGCAGUGGGGAAUAUUGCACAAUGGGGGAAACCCUGAUGCAGCGACGCCGCGUGGAGGAAGAAGGUCUUCGGAUUGUAAACUCCUGUUGUUGGGGAAGAUAAUGACGGUACCCAACAAGGAAGUGACGGCUAACUACGUGCCAGCAGCCGCGGUAAAACGUAGGUCACAAGCGUUGUCCGGAAUUACUGGGUGUAAAGGGAGCGCAGGCGGGAAGACAAGUUGGAAGUGAAAUCUAUGGGCUCAACACAUAAACUGCUUUCAAAACUGUUUUUCUUGAGUAGUGCAGAGGUAGGCGGAAUUCCCGGUGUAGCGGUGGAAUGCGUAGAUAUCGGGAGGAACACCAGUGGCGAAGGCGGCCUACUGGGCACCAACUGACGCUGAGGCUCGAAAGUGUGGGUAGCAAACAGGAUUAGAUACCCUGGUAGUCCACACCGUAAACGAUGAUUACUAGGUGUUGGAGGAUUGACCCCUUCAGUGCCGCAGUUAACACAAUAAGUAAUCCACCUGGGGAGUACGACCGCAAGGUUGAAACUCAAAGGAAUUGACGGGGGCCCGCACAAGCAGUGGAGUAUGUGGUUUAAUUCGACGCAACGCGAAGAACCUUACCAAGUCUUGACAUCCCUUGACGAUGCUGGAAACAGUAUUUCUCUUCGGAGCAAGGAGACAGGUGGUGCAUGGUUGUCGUCAGCUCGUGUCGUGAGAUGCUGGGUUAAGUCCCGCAACGAGCGCAACCCUUAUGGUCAGUUACUACGCAAGAGGACUCUGGCCAGACUGCCGUUGACAAAACGGAGGAAGGUGGGGAUGACGUCAAAUCAUCAUGCCCUUUAUGACUUGGGCUACACACGUACUACAAUGGCGUUAAACAAAGAGAAGCAAGACCGCGAGGUGGAGCAAAACUCAGAAACAACGUCCCAGUUCGGACUGCAGGCUGCAACUCGCCUGCACGAAGUCGGAAUUGCUAGUAAUCGUGGAUCAGCAUGCCACGGUGAAUACGUUCCCGGGCCUUGUACACACCGCCCGUCACACCAUGAGAGCCGGGGGGACCCGAAGUCGGUAGUCUAACCGUAAGGAGGACGCCGCCGAAGGUAAAACUGGUGAUUGGGGUGAAGUCGUAACAAGGUAA